CUGAGAGAAGGGACAACAGGUUCAAAUUUCGCUAACCGCAAAAUAGCUUCAGCAACUCCAUUUUCUUCAUUUCAGCUUCAGGUGUUGCUAUACUUUGUGCUGGGUAUAUCCAGCUCAAUUGCCAGAGGUUAUUUCCGAAGCUUUGAAACUGAAAGCUAGGGUUUUGGGCAAGAAAGAAGGGCAUGGAGGUCGCGGUCGUUGACGCUGGUUCAAAGCUCCUCAAAGCUGCAUUUGCUAUACCCGAUCAGGCUCCAGCUAUGAUAUUGCACCAGUAAUUGGGGGUCUGUUCAUCACAUCGCCUAAAAAAGAUUUGAGUUUGGAGGCAUUGAUUUAACAAAUUUCUUGGCUCAAGAACUCGGCAAGUCAAAUCUGCUAGUAAGCAUCAGCUUGUCUGAGGUUGAGAAAAUAAAAGAGCAAUACUCAUGUUGUGCUGAAGAUGAAUUAGCUUAUCAAAAGACCUAAGAUUCUUGUGUUGCGGAGGAACAUACCCUUCCUGAUGGACAGGUGAUAACUAUAAGGAGGGAAAGAUAUACUGUUGGUGAAGCUUUAUUCCAGCCAUGUCUAUUGGGUUUAGAGACAUAGAAUUGUUGAACAGCUUUUACGAACUAUUUCAACUGUGUCAUCAGAUAAUCAAGGAGGAAGGUGAUUGAGGCAUAUGCAAGGAGGAAGGCUUUGAAGAAAGGUUUGAGAAGGAAGCUAACCUGACUUCAUCUGCUGUUCAACCCACUCUUGUUAAGCCUCUAGAAUACAUGCCAGAAAAUUUAACCACAUAUUCUGCAUGGCUGGGAGGUGCCAUACUUGCCAAAAUAGUUUUCCCACAAAAUCAGCGUGUAACUGAGGCUGAUUACGAUGAAACUGGACCUUCCAUCGUUCACCAGAAAUGUUUCUGAUGGCAUUCAUCGGCGGUACAAAUACAAUAUCUGCAAAUGUCUAGUCUCUUCACACUAACUUGCAAUGUGACAGGUAGUAGCAGUCCUUGGAUUGACUGUGAGUUCUAUAUUUGUGUGUUAGAAGGGUUGUAGUCAAUUUGUUCAUGUUAUCCUAAAAAGAAGAGAGUAUAUAUCAGUCAAGGCAAGCAUGCUUCUUUCAAUUGCGUCCCUAGGCAUGGAUAGAUGAUUUUAACAAGGCUUGUUGAACAAAAGCAUAUGUUUGGUAUCUGUUGAACGUUGAUCAAGGUUAUUCAGUGUAAAUUUUUUCAGAGAUAAGGUCCUAAAUUUAAAUUUUCCGUUGGGCAAUAA